GCACCAUGUGGGAUUUUCUCUCACUAGAUUGAAAACAUCAAUCUCUAAGUCACUUUUACUAGGAGCUCUUUCUAGAUUCUAUGGGUAGUGGUGCAUGGCCGUUCUUAGUCUGUGGAGCGAUUUGUUCGAUUAAUUUCGUUAACAAACGAGACCUGAACCUACUUCCUAGCUAUACCAGGGUACCCUUUCACGGCCAGCUUCUUAGAGGGACUACAGCCUUUUAGGCUGUGAAAGUUUGAGGCAAUAACAAGUGUGUGAUGCCCUUAGAUGUUCUGGACCGCACGCGCGCUACAAUGAUGUAUUCAACGAGUUUAUAGCCUUGGUCAAUAGGUCCGGGUAAUCUUUAAAAUUUCAUCGUUAUGGGGAUAGAUCAUUGCAAUUGUUGGUCGACG
rnacentral:rRNA from 1 species